UAGGCGCGCACGGGAAAAGCUAGCGCGCGCGCGGGAAAGGUUUGUAAUGAAGAACCCGGAAAUGUGCCAUCUUGUCUCCGCUUUGCGGAGAUCAAGCAACAGAGAUCGGCUAAUUCCGGGCCUCAUGGCUACGGACAGACAUUGAUCACAUGUCUUCAGGAUAUACUAAGUUCUGGGUUUAUAAAGAUGACCUCGGAUGGCCCUUAAAUUGUCAGAACACAACAUCCAGUAGGAUAUCUGUACGUGCAAGAUACAAUAAUCAGUGGAUACACAUUGUUAGGUUCCGGCGGAGUCAGCGGGCAAGGGGAGAGCAGCUGAAAGAACACUCAAGAGACCACAGGUAGGUGGGACAUGGCUUUAUGCAGCAGCUCACUCACACUGUCGGUGCUGCAUUUA
rnacentral:lncRNA from 1 species